rfam:Apaloderma vittatum contig67783, whole genome shotgun sequence.
GGUCGGUUAGCUCAGUCAGUUGAGCGUGGCACUGACAACGCUAAGGUCGUGGGAUCGAUUCCCGUUCGGUCCC